rnacentral:tRNA from 1 species
GCCCAGGUGGCGGAAUGGCAGACGCGGAGGUCUCAAAAACCUCUCUCCGAAAGGGGGUGCGGGUUCGAGUCCCGCCCUGGGCA